AUUCUGGCACGAGCAGAGUCGAUACGACAGGGACAAUUACGUCAGAAUACAUAUGGACAAUGUCCAAUCAGGUCAAACAUUGCAUACUAUUAGUCCUGAGUAGUUUCCGCAAUAACAUUGAUUUUGAUAAUGCUACGUAUUAAUGUAAUAUUACAAAUACACUGUAUUACGUGUAUCACUAAAUCGAGUGCAGUGAAAUGAUGCCCCGUGCACUUGUAGCUCACCAGCACAACUUCCUGAAGCACGACGAGUCGGAGAUGGAUCUACUGAACGAGCCGUACGACUACGACUCCGUGAUGCACUACUCGGCUCACUCCUUCGCCAUUGACAGAGACAGGGUAACUAUAGAAGUCCUCCAACCGGGGGUGACCAUUGGGCAACGAACACACCUUAGUGACAUCGACAUUGAGGAGAUCAAAAUACGAUACGGAUGCAUUCCUCGUAAGACGGCUGUACCUUCCGGAAGUCACACGGGACCUACCCAGGCCCCGGAUAUACACGUGACUGAACACACUGGAGCCCCUGGUAUAAUACUUUUUUAAAUACUAGUACUAUAUAUUCAAAUUCAAAUGUAAAAAAAAACUUCUGUUGUCAUUCAUUUGAGCUUUGUAACUCAAUUGAAGAUCUGUUGAAUCAUUUAUAUUUCAAUUUUAGGUACAUUUCCUUCAAAUCCGGGUAUGUAAACAUCGUAUGAUGAAUAGUUUUUGAACAAGGUCUUUUAGUAAUACCGUCUUCUGUAAAUACAUUUAUUAGUUAGUGCUGAUAAAGAGUGUAUUCUAUUAAAGCAUGAUUUUGUACUGGGGUAUUCCUAAGCAUUCUUGUGUUUUCUCCAGCGGCUACUUGUACUUUUGAGGACGGACUUUGUGGAUGGACUCAGUCUACGUCCGACUCAUUGGAUUGGACUCGUUUCCAUGGGAAAACCCCCAGUCACUACACAGGGCCCGAUUUCGAUCAUACGUCACUCGAUGUUACUGGUAUUUUUAUUUAUUAGUAUAAGUAACUCGUUGCUACUAUUGCUGAGAUAUGCAACCUAUCAAAUUGCAGAGGAAGAUAAACUGAAAGGUGGAAAUGUUGUGUAAGUUUUUUUUGUCCCAAAUUUUGAGACUCUUCUGUUCAGUCCUUAUACCUUGGUCACGCUUUGAUCUAUAUAUUGAAGAUAACAGUUCUACACAGUCAAGGCCUACAUACGGGUCACCAGUGCUCCUUGAUUCACACAGAAACAGAUACAUACUAUGAACUAUAAAAUAAUGAUAAUAAGAUCACCAACUGCUAUAGAUCAUUUCAUGGUCUUCAUAACUUUACAAUAAUCACAUCCACAGAAUAGUUGAAGUUAAAGGAAAAAAAUGGUCAAAACUUGGUUAGACUUUGUAUUUUUAUACAAUUUUGUUACUGUAUGUAUGUACCAUCACCUUUGUUUAAAUACAGAAUAGUUGAGGAUUUUUACGGGAAAUUCAGUAGAUUUAUACUUGUAAACUGCCGUUUUUUGUCCGUUUCACUUUUGUCAACCCGAGUUUUCUACAGUACCGUAAUUCUACAUUAAGACUGUACUGUAUCUUUAUUAAUGAAUGGCAUCGUGAGGUACAAUUUUUGUUUGUAGGUAAUUACCUGUAUUUGGAGGCCUCAUCUCAUACCGACAGAACAGCACAGCUGAUCUCUCCACUCCAGUCCAGCGGCCAUUACUGUUUCAGCGCUUAUUACCACAUGUACGGUACCGACUCCGGUACCCUAAGCUUUAAAGUUCUCCAGCAUGGACAUAGCCACACCCUCAAAUCAUUUAGAGGGGACCUCGGAAAUCACUGGAAUCACGUGAGGAUGGAGAUCAGCAUCCACCAUCAUUUCCAGGUAAGUAUAAAUGGCCGUAACACAGUGAUCUAGCUGCUUGUUCUGUUUGUUUUUUGAUAAUUAAACUGCGAUGACGCAGUUUAAUUAUCUUUUUCUGCAAUGCUCGCUACUUUCCAAAGCACAAGAACCACCAAAAUAAGACUUCUAUUUUUUUUUUUACUGAGGUGUUUAUUGUAUAUUUUGCAGAUCGUGGUGGAAGGACACACAGGACAUGGUUCUAAGAGUGACAUUGGCAUUGAUGACCUUUCUUUAACACCUGGCCAUUGUUAAACUAAUUAAUUAAACAAUAAAGGUUUUUGUACAUUAC
rnacentral:misc_RNA from 1 species